AGAGCGAACGCUGGCGGCAGGCCUAACACAUGCAAGUCGAGCGCCCCGCAAGGGGAGCGGCAGACGGGAGAGUAACACGUGGGAACGUACCCUUCAGUUCGGAACAACCCAGGGAAACUUGGGCUAAUACCGGAUACGUCCGUAAGGAGAAAGAUUUAUCGCUGAAGGAUCGGCCCGCGUCUGAUUAGCUUGUUGGUGAGGUAACGGCUCACCAAGGCUACGAUCAGUAGCUGGUCUGAGAGGAUGAUCAGCCUCACUGGGACUGAGACACGGCCCAGACUCCUACGGGAGGCAGUAGUGGGGAAUAUUGGACAAUGGGCGCAAGCCUGAUCCAGCCAUGCCGCGUGGGUGAUGAAGGCCCUAGGGUUGUAAAGCCCUUUCGGCGGGGAAGAUAAUGACGGUACCGCAGAAGAAGCCCGGCUAACUUCGUGCCAGCAGCCGC
rnacentral:rRNA from 1 species